rnacentral:lncRNA from 1 species
UCUCACUCGAUGGUGAGUCACAGAGCAAAUACAAUAAAGCAUAAAACCAUACAUUAAGGAGUAUUAAACUUAUUACAUCAUCAUCAGAGUUUUAGCAAAAGUAGUCAUCAUUGUUCAAAAUGCAGCGGAAUAAAACUAACGAUAAAUAAACAGAGAGAUGGGGAAGCCUGUCCCAUCACUCCUCAUGCUCCUCCUCAGCCGAGGUAGGGUCCCACUCGACUGUCCAACCUGGUGGCAAGAUGGACGGCCAAGUCACUCCAGCAACCAUGUCCUCCAGAGAACCUGUAAAAUUAUGCCACAAGCAAGGCUGAGUAUACUAAUACUUAGCUAGACUUACCCGGUAUGAGGAGUCUACUCCUCUACCUCUAGACAUGCAGCUGUUUGGCUGAGAGGUUUGGUUGCCAAAAGCACUAGCUGAGUCUAUAAAUCAAGUUUUAGCUUUACCAAGUUUUAGUGUGACUCUCUUAAGACUGAAUGUAUACCUAUCUAAUCAUACAUGGUAUCAAACAUUUAGCAAUCAACAACUUUUGCUAAGUCAUCACAUUUCCACUUGUUACUCAAUGUAGCAGCAUGGAUCAAGCAGUCUCAUUAGCUGCGAGAAGCAGACGAUUCGAAUCGAGUUUUUAAACCUUGCAAGGUAAACCUAAACACACGACGUGGCAAGGCACUCCGUCCCCACACACAUCAACCGUCCCCAUCGAUUCCCCGUCAGCAGAGAGGGGCUCACCGCCUUGGCGUACAAUGCCUCACUGACCCCGACUGCCGUCGUGCAGUGACCGCACUUGUACCCACCAUAACCGGAAUGGGAGACCACGUCUCAGGUCGCGUGAGGAGGGCAAUCUGCUGCCAGGUUCAAUCAGGUACUAGGCUUACCGAUUUACCAUAUUUCUCGGCAUAUGUUUAGUACGUUCAAACGCUUGACACACGGUACUAAACCAUAAUCCUUAGUCCAAUUUCCACCUCGUAGACAACCAAUCCUCAUGGAUUGUUUUCCACAGACCAACAUCAUUAUACUAUGAAAGUGGAUACAACCAAUUCCUGACCUCGCGCGAGUGCUAGAAAAAUCACUCGACUUAUACCGAGAUCCCUAAUUAGUAAAGCAACUACUCGACCUAGCAUACUAGUAUCCAUCUCAAAGGAAUCCUGGGUUCAUGCAACUAGGGUUUCAGUCAACUCCUACCCUUAAGUGCACAGUACAAACCUACAAACAUUAAGUGUAGUAAAAUAGCAUAUAUAAACGGUUAUGCAUAAAACCGGGGCUUGCCUUCCAAAGCUGGGGCAGGCAGAUUGUGGCAGAACCUCCCAAGGUAUCGGGCCCACAUGCACUUGUCCUUGUCCCAAAGACCUCAGACGGCCAUGCAUGUGCACCAGAUAACUUAACAGGAUCCGUCCGAUUGCCCCAAGGACAUCGGAUAAACCACUUACAACCAGAACCGCGUGAUUAAGUAAUACAAAUCACACACACCAAUAUUUUUGCAGCGGAAAUCUUAUUACCAAAUUUUACAAGUUACAAAAAUUUUACAUUAUUUUAUCGGAAUGAUUACAAAAGUAUAAGUUUGAAAUAUAUGCUAGCUUAAGAGACCAUCCUCAAUAAGAAGUAUAGAAGGGUUACUUAGACUUAUAAGAAGGCCGAGCCCACCGGCACUUAACACCAUCAUCAGCAGCACAAAGCUAUGACCUGAAAAACAACAGGGAAUAAAACCCUGAGUAUGGAAUUACUCAGCAAGUCUUACCCGACUAAGGAAAAGACUCUCAAGGGUAUGCUGGAUAAAUAGGAAUCAAGGAGAGGCUUUAGCAAGAAUCAACUUAGAUACUUUUGCAGAAAUAGCUUACUAAAGUGAGUCCUUACUUUCAACAUUUUAAUGCCAGAUUAAAUAUUAAUAGACUCUGUUUGUCUCUAGUCUAAUUUCAUCAUCUCAUCAAUACAACAUCAUUUUUAUUCAUGAAGUUCACAUCCUGACUUAGGUUGUAGGUCAGUGAUCAAGUCUCCACUCUCCGGGGAUAUAACGGCGAUCCGAAUCGAUUUACUCAGCUGAGGAUCUCUAACCACACGACAUAUGUAGCACUUAAUCCUUGCAUAUGUCAACUCGACCCCAGGGUUCUUAAGACCAGAUCAGGUUCACGCAAACCGAGAGCACAGAUACACCACCGUCUAGCCUCUUGCCACGGAGGGUACACGCUACUCCCGCCACCGCUCCACACCCAUUUCGUGUUAUCUUAUUCUGGCCUUAGUCUGCCCGAGGCAAAGCUUACCCUGUCCCAUUUCCAGGGUAUGCGGCUAGCUAAGAUAGUCCUUGCGCUAGCAGGCCUACAUACGCAUCCAAUCCUUAAUCAACCUGGGUAGAACAUCACCUGUUCCUAACCCAAGUCUCGAUUUAAGUACUUCCAUCCUUAGGAUUGUUUCUGUUCCUUAGGAUGAAAAGAGCAUCACAGGGAGCUUUGCAGUAAGAUCCCACCACGCUCUCAAUGAAAGUAUUCUUGCAUGUAGAAGCCAUCUUUCCUCAGUAUAACCCCUGAGCUAGGCAGUAUUGUAAAAGACAACCUCUAUCCACAAGAUCUAAGCAGGGCUAAGCAUUUUUGUAAAUCAAAUUUUGAUACUUCACCAGAAGUAUCUAUAAAAGUAUGGAUAUCAAGGAAGGCAAUGCAUCAAAGGGUUUCAAGCAACUCCUAUAAACCUAAUGCACAUUUCACUAGACUUAAGUGUGCGAAAAGUAUUUAAAAACACAAGGAAGGGGUUGCAUGCACCGGGGCUUGCCUUAUUGUAGUGAAGAGGCCUAGAUCCUUCUACCCAAUCAUCAGUUAGUUAGCUCCAUCCACUUGAUGAGCAGACACUGGAGUAGCCUCCUCUUCAGUCAACGCUUCAUCUUGAAUCUUCACUCUUUCUGGUAGGAGUUCUAUAUGAAAUGACAUGAUCAUGGAUGUUUAUGCUUAUGCAACUUGAAAAGAAAAAUACUAAGAAGCAUCGCAAGACUUACACCUCUCUAAUGGUGCAUUAAAUUUGAGCAAACACACGGAAAAUCCAUUUUCCCAAUCUGAAACAGCACAUUACUAGGUCUGACAGAGGGUUUUGUCACUCCUUUUUCUCCAAAUUCUACAAAGUAGCAAGUCAACACUUUGCAUGAGACUUUCUCUCCUUUACAUGGUCUUUGAUUUUGCUAUAGCAUUCUUACCCCAAUUCUUCUUGGAUUAAUUACCACAAGGACCCAAAACUGAAUAAACACACAAAUUCAGACUUAAAUAUUAUUCUAAGUCUGAAUCCUAACACCUGACAGUCCACCUUUUGGCCACUUUUAUUUCCAAAUUUAUGUGGAACCAAGUCCACCUCACUUUACAAAACUUAGUCUCUUUACUAUGGUCUCCAGAUUUGCUAUGGAAACUUUAAUCCAAAGCCCCAUGAAUCAGUCACAAAUGAGUUCCAAACUAGGCAUCCUGCUGUAAUUCAGUUUUCAGAACUGAAUAACAAAAUUCAGUUAUGUACAGUCUGACGGUCCAACUUUAGCCAACCUUUUUUUCCAAUUCCAAAUAGCUUCUAGGGUAUGGCCUUUAACCAAACCUGGUCUUCUACUAUAGUUCUAUUGCUUUGCUAUAAGAGACCUAAUUUAAUUCCCUACAGGUUAGCCACUACAAAGGUCCAAACAUGGCUAAAGUUUACUAAAAUUCAGAAUUAGCCAAUUAGCUAAGUCUGAAACCCAGAAGUUGAUGGCCCAGUUUUGAGCAAGCUUUACAAUCAGUUCUGUAUAGUUUUUAGGCCAGAUCACUCAAUCAAACUUGUACUCCUAGAAUAGAUUUAUAACUUUGUUAUAGUGGCCAUAAGCUAUAGCUCUAUGGAUAGAGCAGCAAAGAGCUCCAAAGCUGCACCCAAAACAUACAAAUUCAGACUCUGAAUUUGCACUAAGUCUGAAAUCUGACAACCCUAUUUUACACCAAAUUUCACACCUAGUUCCAGGCAACUAAUAGUGGUAGAGUUCAAGUAGUAAUUGGUGUGAGCUUCACUGACCUGAGAUGAUUAUGGAACAAGCUUCAUAUAGGCCAGCAACUCCCUAGAAUGUUCUGGCUAUGGUGGGGUAAAGAAUUGUGAGCAUGGUCACCACUGGCACUUGAUUCUCUGGACAGAGCAGACUUGGUGGCUGUGGGAGAGGGUCAUCACUAGCAGGGAUACAAGAACCCCAACACCCAUGCAGUGGUAUGCGAGUAGAGCUCGAGGUAGAGAGGAGAUUUCCACUGCUCCCUGCCCUUUAAAUACCUGAAAUGGGAUAGGUGUUCUCUGAACUUGGCAAACAUGCAGAGGGGAUGUGUUUUCCAGUGUGCCAGCACAACAUGGACUCAAAGACGUGGCUCCCAUGCACUACUAUCAUGCAGAUUCAUAGCACAGACAAAGACACAGAACUUGGUCCAUCUUAUAUGGUCAAAAUAUCAAUUUUUGUCUCCUACUGCGGAUAAGAGAGGGCAGCUAGGAACCCACAAAUAUCCCACUUGAGGAUAGGCUCAAA